UACGUAGGGGGGCUAGCGUUGUCCGGAAUCAUUGGGCGUAAAGAGCGUGUAGGCGGCCCGGUAAGUCCGCUGUGAAAGUCAAGGGCUCAACCCUCGAAUGCCGGUGGAUACUGUCGGGCUAGAGUGCGGAAGGGGAGUGUGGAAUUCCCGGUGUAGCGGUGAAAUGCGCAGAGAUCGGGAGGAACACCCGUAGCGAAGGCGGCACUCUGGGCCGGUACUGACGCUGAGGAGCGAAAGCGUGGGGAGCAAACAGG
rnacentral:rRNA from 1 species